UCUAUGCCUAGAGCGCCAGGACUUAAUUUAUAUUAAGUUGACGAGGACAGGGCUUAUCGAAUUAUCGGCGGAUACCCUGCGGUUCACAACCGAGAGAUGUUUAACAAAAUCUAUAAGUGAUUAUAGACACAAAAUAAACAUCAGUGAAUAGA
rnacentral:ncRNA from 2 species